GGGUCAGUAGGUUGGUCGUGUCACCGGUACGUACUGGUCUCACUGAUUCCUCCUUCCUGAAGAACCGUAAUGCCAUUAAUUUGGUGUUGCGGGGAAACAGGACUGUUACUUUGAAAAAAUUAGAGUGUUUAAAGCAAUCUAACGCUUGAAUACAUUAGCAUGGAAUAAUGAAAUAGGACGAUCGAUCCUAUUUUGUUGGUUUCUAGGAUUGACGUA
rnacentral:rRNA from 1 species